AGCAGCCGCGGUAAUUCCAGCUCCAAUAGCGUAUAUUAAAGUUGUUGCAGUUAAAAAGCUCGUAGUUGAAUUUCGGGGUUAGUAGAUUGGUCGUGCCACUGGUAUGUACUGGUCUUACUGAUUCCUCCUUCCUGAUGAACCGUAAUGCCAUUAAUUUGGUGUUGCGGGGAGACUGGACUGUUACUUUGAAAAAAUUAGAGUGUUUAAAGCAAGCUA
rnacentral:rRNA from 1 species